UGAUUGUAAUCUGAUUUUGAGCUAACUACACCUCAAAGGCUAUUUUAGGAGCCACAGCACUGAGCAUCUUUGGCUUUGAGCCAACUACACCCCA